GACGAGCACCUUGCGUUGCAGAUGGCCGACGAGUACAAGAAGCUCUCGGGCUACAUCGACCCCACCUUCAAGUCGGACGAGUACGUGGUGGUGUCCAAGAAGGGCAAGAAGA
rnacentral:ribozyme from 1 species